rnacentral:misc_RNA from 1 species
CGAUUGAAAUUACCAAUUAGCGACAUCUGGCGUUAACGUUCGCAAUCUGUACAUAUAUAAUAGAACGGGUAAAUAUAGUAUGGAGACUUUCUAUACAAGAUCUGACAGGAAGUUUUACAUAUCUGAUGUCAACAGCGCAUAUAAGAAAUGAAUGCAAGCCAGUCGAACAAUAGAAUUGAAUGUCAGAUGAAUAGCUGAAUAAGAAAGUUGUGUGCUUCUAUACCAUUUCGAUAUUGAAUAUCAUUUUACUUAUUUGCGAGUGACAAACAUACUGUAAACUGUAAUCAUAAAUAGAAAUAACACCCAAUCACACAGGACAAAUUAAAUGUUGGCUUGAAAGCGGACGCUAAUAGAACGCUCUGUGUCCGAUGUGUGUUAUUUUUGCAACAGAAAAAUGACUUAAUUUUUUUUAUUUUAUAAUUAUAUAUUUUGAGACGUUUUGUACAUUUAUUUGAUACAUACAUUUAUUAAAUGAAAUAUAUUUG